GGGGGCGUUCCGGUUUCGACGUGGAUGGAGAAACCAGAGUUGCAGGCCGAGGCGCCGCUGGCCUCGUAAAAAGCGGCAAAAAAAGUAAUUGCCAAUAACGAUUACGAAUACGCCUACGCUGCGUAAGCGGCAAGGCACCUGAUCGCGUAAAGCGGUCGCGUCACAAGAAAGGAUGCCUGAUAAUUUUUUGUGGCGUAAAAGCAUCAGGCUGGUGAAAGUCGGCGUUUGCCAUGGCUUUCAUGAGAUUUUACUGGCGAACUCGUCGCGCUGCGCCUGAUCAGGAGCCACCAGCGCGAUUAAAUCGCAAACCUGGUCUAAGCCUGUAGAGAUUUUGCGUGGAUUGUUCGCGGACGGGGGUUCAACUCCCCCCGCCUCCACCA
rnacentral:tmRNA from 1 species